UAUAUUCUAUCUCUUUUAAAAAUCCACACGUUUUGCUGUAUUUAAAGAUUUCAGUCUCGUAUUUUUGCUUUGUCCAUAUAAAAGUUUAAUGUCAUUGAACAAGCUUGCAAAAUAAUAACAUUAUGUGUCUAAAUUUCUUCAAAAUAAUUACAGGGUACAUCAUUAUUCUUUGAUUUCAUUAAAUAUAUGCUUUAUUGUGUUCCAUUUAUAGAAACCACGGUAUAUUUCAACCAUAAAUUUUGAAAUGGUAAAUCAAUAUAAAUCAUGAAUUCACAUAGUACAUAUAUAUAUAUAUAUAUAUAUAAUUUAUUUUGCCAAGAUACACUCUAAAAGUAAACAUAGACAAUAAAUAAAAAUCAAAGCAAAAUCCACAUCAAAAAUGUUAUUUUGAAGGGAAUUAAUUGCCACCUACAACUUAGACUUUGAUUGAUUCAGACAUGUGAUGCAUGUGAUUCUUUUGAAAAAACAUUCAGUUCUUUUUCACAAGCAUUUAACAGAUGUGCACAUAAAAUCUGGAAGGUGAUGAAGCCUUCAAAGUCAGCAAUGGCAGAAUCAAAUUCAUCUCUUAGUGUAUGUGCUUGUGUUUGCAUGCCAUGCAUAGUUUACAAUUUUGCAAACCAUAUCAUAAUUUUUUUUUUUGCUACCUAAAACAUGAUUCCCAAUAAUAACAAAAGCAUGAUUUUGUAGUCAAGAAAAUGUCCAUGAUUUAAAUGCAAGAGCUGGAGUAGAAAGCUAUAUGGUCAUUCAUUGUCUAUGUAUAAGGUCAUGUCAAAAGUUUAUCAAUGUUUUGAUAUAUAUAUAUAUAUAUAUAUAUAUGUGAGGAAUACAUGAUUAUUUUGUUUGUUGUUGGUUUUGUUGUAAAAUAUUCAAAUUAGUAUGCAGUAAAUUCACUUUCAAAUAUUACAUUCUAAUUUAACAUUCUGAAGAUUGAUUGAUUGAUUGAUUUUUUUUUUCGGUUUUUUUUUUUUUUUUUUUUUUUUUUUUUUUUUCCAGAAAAGAGCAACAAUACAUGAGUUUGAACAACAUGGUUUGCAUUUUUAUUUCUUUAUUUCUUUUAUCAUUUGUUAAUUGUUUUAACUUCUUAAAAUCCGCUGAUUUUUUUUAAUAGAUGUGUCAACUUUGAAAUGUUUUUUGUGCCUUGAAACAUUCAUUCUAGUGUCUUUUUCUCAUACUUGGGCUUUUAUUCUUCUUGUUUAUUUUGACUUGCAAAUUAAAUUGGCAUGCAUUUAAGAAAAUAAAGUAAUUAAUUUGACACCAAUCUUUAUUCUUAGCACUACUCUGCACUAUUGAUUCUGGCUCUUCUUCCAAUUUUUCAAAGAUUUUCUUUGACCUUUUACAAUCGGAUACAAUUCACAUAAUUCUCAUACCAAUAAUGUAAUGGGAAUUCGUUUUGUCAAAUAAACACCAUAAAUGGCUCAAACACACAAAACCAUUCAUUAUGAUAAAAAAGCUGAAAAGUACCACCAAUACAAAACAUAUUUCACUCCAUGAAAUUUUCAACAUCUGAGGUUCAUGAUGCAAAUGU
rnacentral:lncRNA from 1 species